rnacentral:rRNA from 1 species
UCAGUCGACUCCUACGGGAGGCAGCAGUGGGGAAUAUUGCACAAUGGGGGAAACCCUGAUGCAGCCAUGCCGCGUGUGUGAAGAAGGCCUUCGGGUUGUAAAGCACUUUCAGUAGGGAGGAAGGUAGUGUAGUUAACACCUGCACUAUUUGACGUUACCUACAGAAGAAGCACCGGCUAACUCCGUGCCAGCAGCCGCGGUAAUACGGAGGGUGCGAGCGUUAAUCGGAAUUACUGGGCGUAAAGCGCAUGCAGGCGGCCUGUUAAGUCAGAUGUGAAAGCCCCGGGGCUUAACCUCGGAAUUGCAUUUGAAACUGGCAGGCUAGAGUCUUGUAGAGGGGGUAGAAUUUCAGGUGUAGCGGUGAAAUGCGUAGAGAUCUGAAGGAAUACCAGUGGCGAAGGCGGCCCCCUGGACAAAGACUGACGCUCAGAUGCGAAAGCGUGGGGAGCAAACAGGAUUAGAUACCCUGGUAG